UUGACCUCGGAUCAGGUAGGGAUACCCGCUGAACUUAAGCAUAUCAAUAAGCGGAGGAAAAGAAACCAACAGGGAUUGCCUCAGUAACGGCGAGUGAAGCGGCAACAGCUCAAAUUUGAAAUCUGACCCCUUUGGGGCCCGAGUUGUAAUUUGUAGAGGGUGUUUCGGGCGCGGCGCCGGUCUAAGUUCCUUGGAACAGGACGUCAUAGAGGGUGAGAAUCCCGUAUGUGACUGGCGAUCAAGCCCAUGUGAAGCCCCUUCGACGAGUCGAGUUGUUGGGAAUGCAGCUCAAA
rnacentral:rRNA from 1 species